rnacentral:misc_RNA from 1 species
AAAAAAGCCAUUUCCGUUUAGAAUAAUAAGUCAGAAGGGAUUUACUUUAAUUAGAACUUGGCUCGAAUUGUUGGAAAUAAUAACUGGGAAUUGCUCAAAUAGUAUGAGUAGGAAUUUUAGGCGUAGAUCCAAGCACAGAAUUUUCAAUUGUGUUAACGCCUGGGAAUUGGCUGCUAAAGCUUCCAAUCGCCACAGCAUUGCCUUCUCCAA